rfam:TPA: Bos taurus chromosome 2, whole genome shotgun sequence.
UCCCUGGCGGUCCAGAGGUUAGGUCGCCACACUUUCACUGCUGAGGGCCUGGGUUCAAUCCCUGGUCAGGGAA